UGCGGUAUCCUGACCGUGCUAAGGUAGCAUAAUAGCUUGCCUUUUAAUUAAAGGCUUGUAUGAACGAACCAACGAGAGUUUGACUGUCUCCUAGAUAAACACGAAAUUUAACCUUUAUGUGAAAAGGCAUAAAUAAAACUAAAAGACAAAAAGACCCUGUCGAGCUUAAUUGCUAACCCCUCGAAAGAAAAAUAAUUUACUCUUUCCAGGAAAUAAAUCAAUUUAGUUGGGGCAACAAGGGAACACCUAAACCUUCCCUUAUGAAAUUUAUUUUAAUCAAAAGACCCCCAAUCGGGCCAAAAGAUAAAAGCUACCGCAGGGAUAACAGGUUAAUUUUUCUCGAGAGUACACAUUAACAGAAAAGAUUGGCACCUCG
rnacentral:rRNA from 1 species